rnacentral:rRNA from 1 species
UACGAAGGGGGCUAGCGUUGUUCGGAAUUACUGGGCGUAAAGCGCGCGCAGGCGGUCUUCCAAGUCAGUGGUGAAAGCCCGGAGCUCAACUCCGGAACUGCCAUUGAAACUGUGAGACUUGAGGAUGAGAGAGGUGAGUGGAAUUCCCAGUGUAGAGGUGAAAUUCGUAGAUAUUGGGAAGAACACCGGUGGCGAAGGCGGUUAGCUGGGCAGUUGCUGGACACUGAGGCGCGACAGCGUGGGGAGCAAACAGGG